AUAUGAACAGGCCUGAAUUAGGUGAUACGUGAACCAUUGAUGUCCAGCGAAUCUGAGUGAGAUCGGGACGCCACACAGAGAAGUAAAGGAAGGCCCUAUGAAAGGUGCAUGAGAAUGGAUCGGCGUUGCUUGUACGUUCAGGCCAAGUUUGUCUUAUCUGAUUGCCGUUUUACUCGCAAUCAAGCAAGAUGACAUCCAAAAGCGAUUCGAGUGGCCCAAAACGGAGAAGAAACUCAACCUCAAUCCUGGAAUCUGACUCGGAUUCCCCCAAAUUGUUUCCAUUCUCAGCAUCAUCGUCAUCAUCCUUAUCAUCAUCGUCGUCGUCUCUAUUAUCACAGAGCAAACCUUUGAUGACAAACUCGACACAGAUUUUCUCCGUAAAAGGUACGUGCAGUGUUUGAGUUGGCGUGGUUUGACUAUUAAGAAAAAUGGCAGCACGCUCGCGGUACGUUCAGCAGCCGCCUACUUUAUUCCCCUUGUUCGUUCCUUAUGCCCGUGGGUUCACCUACUGUACGAGGUCCCUCUGGCAAGGACAAC